CACGUAGGGGACGAGCGUUGUCCGGAUUCAUUGGGCGUAAAGCGCGCGUAGGCGGCUCGGAAAGUCGGGCGUGAAAUGCCGGGGCUCAACCCCGGGACUGCGUCCGAUACUUCCGAGCUGGAGGUAGGUAGGGGGAGAUCGGAAUUCCUGGUGUAGCGGUGAAAUGCGCAGAGUAUCAGGAGGAACACCGGUGGCGAAGGCGGAUCUCUGGGCCUUACCUGACGCUGAGGCGCGAAAGCUAGGGGAGCGAACAGG
rnacentral:rRNA from 1 species